rnacentral:rRNA from 1 species
CCUACGGGAGGCAGCAGUGAGGAAUAUUGGUCAAUGGGCGGAAGCCUGAACCAGCCAAGUCGCGUGCAGGAAGACGGUCCUACGGGUUGUAAACUGCUUUUGUCCGGGAACAACGUCCCUUACGUGUAGGGCUUUGCGUGUACCGUAUGAAAAAGCAUCGGCUAACUCCGUGCCAGCAGCCGCGGUAAUACGGAGGGUCCGGGCGUUAUCCGGAUUUAUUGGGUUUAAAGGGUGCGCAGGCGGCCGGUAAAGUCAGCGGUAAAAGCCCGGGGCUCAACCCCGGCGAGCCGUUGAAACUGGCGGGCUGGAGUGGGAGAGAAGUACGCGGAAUGCGCGGUGUAGCGGUGAAAUGCAUAGAUAUCGCGCAGAACCCCGAUUGCGAAGGCAGCGUACCGGCUCCACACUGACGCUGAGGCACGAAAGCGUGGGUAUCGAACAGGAUUAGAUACCCGAGUAGUC